GACCCAGGAAGGACGCAGGAAUCCAUCAGGUUCCUCCAUCAGCUUGCUUUAGGGAUGGGAAGAGACCAGGAGCCGGAUGGCUAAGGCCCUUCAGGGGGACUCGCACCUGAAGGAUUGCAACAAUGACCCCAAAGAGGCCAAUGGCACUGCCAAAGAUCUCCACGAUGAGAAUUUUUACAAAGAGGCUGGGGUUCUGUGCAUCCGCCAGGGCGGCCCCACUGCCCACGAUGCCCACGCAGACUCCACAGAACAGGUUGGACAGACCGACUGUGAGGCCAGCCCCAAACAUGGAGUAACCUGGAGGAUAAGAAGUAGCUCGUGAGGUGGAGGCAAGCAGGAGAGGAAUGGUCCAGUGUGGGCUAGCAGGGCCAGUCCCACCCCAACUCUGCAGAGCUGAGACUCUCAGCUAUGGAGCCAGGAAGCAGGAGGAAAGCAUAGGCAUUUCAAUGGAUACCCGUCCCCGCUGGUUUUCCCUUACCUCAGCCAUGUUGCUGAUGACAAUUGCCAUGAUGAUGCCAUAGAUGGCCACCGCUUCACAGAAGAUAAUACUGGCAACAGUGAUGGUAAAUGGUGGGGGAGGGGGAGGGAAACUCUUUAAGAAGGAAAUCAGCCAUUUCUGCAGAAAAUCCCCAGCCAACUUUCCCUGACUCACAUACACGCUACGAUGAGACUCCGUGUGUCUGAAGAGCUGGGCUGGGGCUCAGACCAAAGCAGGGAGAAGAGGCUCCUAGGAGAAUCCUCUCCAUGCCCUCCCUUACCAUGCCACAUCAAAGCGAAAGCCCAGGUCAAAGAUGGUGUAGCAGAUUCCUGAAGCAAUGAGGAAAGGAGUUAAAGGGUUGCUCUUUCGAGACACAGUCCCCAACCUAGGAAAAAAAAAAAACUGCCCAACUGUCAAACUGUCAGCCACCUACAUCUAGACAAGCGAAGAGUCCCGGAGCGAAACAGCACCUCCACCCAGGCCUCCAUUUUUUUUUUUUUUUCGGCCACUCCCUAGGUAACCCGUCUUAAUGACACCAAGCCCCUUCACGGGCCGGAGGGAACGGGCGCUGCGUCCAGGCCGCGCCAGAUCCUGCCGGCCCAAUCGCUGUUUACCCAACAAGCUGUGAAUGGGUGGGGGAGGGCAAGGAGGAAAAAGGGGAAGCGGGGCGCCCAAAUAUGCGGCUCGCGGAGAGGAGGUCAGGAACCUGGCGUCGCGACCCUGGAAUAGCCGGUGUGACUCUCGCAGCCCAGGGCCGGCCUCCUCCGUCGCGGGAGGGCACCGCGCGGGGCCGGCUCCGGCUGCCACCUGCCCCCCGCCCCAACCAGCAGGCCACCUUGGGCCGCCUGGGCCCCGCUCACCCACAACGACCAUGCAGGCCCAGAAGGCCACAAAGAUCCCGAGGUAGAGCAACUCCAGCCCCGUCAUGGCAGCGGCGACGGCAGGGGUCGGAUCGGUGGGACCUGAGCUAAACCGCGUCCACCGUCCGCCCCGCAGUCUGUCGGCCCGCCCCGCAGCGCCACCUGACCGGCGCACGUGAUGCGCCGACCCCACGUGACCCCCGCGCACAGUGGCUGGCUGCCUGAGGCCGGGCCCUGGUAGACGUCAUGCCGCGGAGCACUGUGGUGGUUGUAGUUUCGUCGGACGUUCUCCGUGACAGGUCCUUCCGGUCUGUUCUAGUCCUGCCUAGUUCCUUCUGCUUGAAGCAGGAUUUCGCGGUGCCUAGCUAAUGCCUGCUGUUCAUCGGAGGUCAUUCUAGGUUGUCUUUUCCAACCCAGAGGUAGGGUGGAAUGCCAGACGCGAACGCCCACGAUGUCCAGGGGGCCGAAGCACCAUGGUUCAUGUUGGACUCACUACUGUUUCUAGCGCCUGACAUACAGGGGAGUUCUCAUAACAUGCACACAGAAUACAUGAUGGAUGCUCAUUUUAACCCAGUCCCCAUGUCAGUUACAGCUCUGCCUUUACCAUUAGCCUGUGUACUACAUGAUCUGGAUGGUGCCAAUAUAAGAUUCUUUUGCUAAUGUGGACAAUAAGUAAAUUUUGUUUUCUUCUGGGAUCCAAUACACAAACACACACACACACUGGGAAACCCUAGGACCAACUCUCUGGUUUUUGUUUUGUUUUUUGAGACAGGAUUUCUCUGUAUAGCCCUAGCUGUCCUGGAACUCACUUUGUAGACCAGGUUGGCCUCGAACUCAGAAAUGUGCCUGCCUCUGCCUCCCAAGUGCUGAGAUUAAAGGCGUGCACCACCACUGCCCGGCCCAUAAAACCAACUCUCUACCAAGGACAAGCACUCUAUCAAGAUAUACCCCAACAACUCUACUUUGAUUGAAGCACCCACCAUGUUGACUGAGUCUUUGUUUAGGCCCAAAUGUUCGUUUCACUCUGUUUAUUCUGAAUAUUUUUUCUCUAUAAGAUCCAGCUUAAGACUCCUCUGUCUGGGUUGCCUCUUGAGUCCCCUUCAGGAGCCUGCUAUGAGAGCCAGCUGCACCUGGGGCUCCCUUCACACAAUUAUAUUUCGUGGGGUUAUUAUUUCCUCCCAAGCACAUUUUGAGGACAGUAAUCUGGUUAAAUAUAACUCACAUAUCCACCCACAGGAUCUGUGUAGAACAGAGCUUUAGUGAAUAAAGAGAAACAGGAGAAAAAGUAUUUACAGGAUAUGCCACCCAGAUCUCUGAGGAACCCAC
rnacentral:lncRNA from 1 species